GACCUCAAAUCAGGUAAGAAUACCCGCUGAACUUAAGCAUAUCAAUAAGCGGAGGAAAAGAAAAUAACAAUGAUUCCUCUAGUAACUGCGAGUGAAGAGGGAAAAGCUCAAAUUUUGAAUCUGUUAGGUUUACCUAACCGAGUUGUAAUUUGAAGAAGCGUUUUCUGCGAUUUUGGUUAGUCCAGAUCCUUUGGAAUAAGGUAUCAUGGAGGGUGAGAAUCCCGUUCGGUUAACCAAAGCGCUUUACGAUACGCUUUCAAAGAGUCAAGUUGUUUGGGAUUGCAGCUUAAAAUGGGAGGUAAAUUUCUCCUAAGGCUAAAUAUUGGCGAGAGACCGAUAGCGAACAAGUACCGUGAGGGAAAGAUGGAAAGAACUUUGAAAAGAGAGUUAAACAGUACGUGAAAUUGUUGAAAGGGAAACGAUUGAAG
rnacentral:rRNA from 1 species